rnacentral:rRNA from 1 species
AUUGAACGCUGGCGGCAGGCCUAACACAUGCAAGUCGAACGAGUGGCGGACGGGUGAGUAAUGUCUGGGAAACUGCCUGAUGGAGGGGGAUAACUACUGGAAACGGUAGCUAAUACCGCAUACCAUCGGAUGUGCCCAGAUGGGAUUAGCUAGUUGGUGGGGUAACGGCUCACCAAGGCGACGAUCCGUAGUCGGUCUGAGAGGAUGACCAGCCACACUGGAACAGAGACACGGUCCAGACUCUGACGGGAGGCAGCAGUGGGUAAUAUUGCACAAUGGGCGCAAGCCGGAUGCAGCCAUGCCGCGUGUAUUAAGAAGGUCUUCGGGUUGUAAAGUACUUUCAGCGGGGAGGCGUUACCCGCAGAAGAAGCACCGGCUAACUCCGUGACAGCAGCCGCGGUAAUAC